CAGAUUUGCAGCUUUCCAACUGAGAUAUGAAAAUGUCCUAUUUGUGCAGGAAUUGGGGUUCCUUUUCCGAGUUUUAAACAUAUGUAACAUUUGAAAUAUAACUUCCUUUAUACUACUUUUGGUAAGUUUUUUGUUUUUCUUAAAUAUUGGAUUUGAAGUGCCACUUGAGGGAAUUUACAUAUUAUUAUUAACUUCCCUUAGAUAAAAAAAAAACUCAGAAAAAUAUAAAUUGUACUCAAGAAGCAAAUGGCAAAUGCAGUCAUAUUUGCAAAAAUGUAUAAAUAAAUAAAAAGCAUAUUAAAUACAAAGAAGAUUCCUCCACAGAGUGAAUGUUGGAGUUUUUCUGUCUGGGCGUUGAUGAACUACUUUCCUCCUCAGUGUGAAAAGUUUCAUCAGUCCUGCCUACAUAUGUGUCUUUAUCCUGCCUUCACACAACAACUGAGACUGUGGUUCGAACAGGUGAAUGCAAAGCUAAACGGUCUGAAGCUGCAGGUGUGGAAACGUUGCAGGAUGAGCAGCUCCUGAGGCCACACACAGAGGGAAUGCUGGGCCUGAAAUGUGACUCGGCGCUAUCAGUGAACGCAGAGGUGUCCAACUGUGACCGUGCUGCUCCAUGCCUCAGAGAUACCGUUUCUUCCCAGUGACACAGCAGCUUCUCUCACUGUAGCUCUGAGAGGCAAAACAGUGUCAGGACAAUGAUUCAGUGAAUGUUUUAGAGAAGUUACAAAUGAGGUGGGAUCAAUACUCACCGCUGGCUGAGUUGCUGAUCAUAAUCCUAACGUCCGACUGCUACAAAACAUGUGUUCAUUUGUAUUUGUCGCAGCUUCCUUCCUUUGAUUCCAACAAUCCACUUAGAUGUCUUAAACAGACAGUUCUAAAGCGUCGUCUUUCAUUUAUUUGAUUUUAGUUACAGUUUUGAUCACUUGUUUGGCUCCCGAUGAUGUGUUGAUAUUGUGCGACUCGCGGUUAAUCAAAAUAAAUAAUACACUUUUCACAUAUUCAACAAAAAAAACAGGCCUUUACAAGUCAUUCAAAUCAAAACAAAAGAGUCAAAACUCAAAUAAAAGAAUAGAAAACGUAUACUGUCUUUUUGUGUAGGAUAAUAUAACUUAAUGAUAACGCGUUAGAACUGUCUGUGUAAGGCGUCUAAGUGGCUUGAUGGAUACAAAGGGAUGAAGCUGUUAAUUCAUUAAGCAACCUGUGUCCAAAACAGAGGAGCAACUUAAUGUAAACACAAUCUUUUUAUGUAUACUUAGUAUAAAAAACACAUUUCAUUACAGUUAAACAGUCAUUUAGGGAAAUGUAACCACAGUCCAUACAGUCGAGGUGAUGCCACAUUCAUCACCUCAAUGUAUUCUCACAUGUAGAGGUCUAACCUUCUAAUAUUCCCUAGACCUAAGAUUUUCAUCGACAUAACUACACUGUAGCUAUGUACGAAUGACAAUAAAAGCCUUGAAUCUUGAA